CCUACGGGUGGCUGCAGUGGGGAAUAUUGGGCAAUGGGCGCAAGCCUGACCCAGCAACGCCGCGUGAAGGAAGAAGGCUCUCGGGUUGUAAACUUCUUUUAUCAGGGACGAAGCAAGUGACGGUACCUGAUGAAUAAGCCACGGCUAACUACGUGCCAGCAGCCGCGGUAAUACGUAGGUGGCAAGCGUGAUCCGGAUUUACUGGGUGUAAAGUGCGUGUAGGCGGGAAAGCAAGUCAGAUGUGAAAACCAUGGGCUCAACCUGUGGCCUGCAUUUGAAACUGUUUUUCGUGAGUACUGGAGAGGCGGACGGAAUUCCUAGUGUAGCGGUGGAAUGCGUAGAUAUUAGGAGGAACACCAGUGGCGAAGGCGGUCUGCUGGACAGCAACUGACGCUGAGGCGCGAAAGCGUGGGGAGCAAACAGGAUUAGAUACCCGAGUAGUC
rnacentral:rRNA from 1 species